GGCAGAUGAUGGCUUUUUCUCACGAUGGUCUGCGGAUGGCACUGUGUCGAUAAUGCCGAUGGCUCAGCUGAUGCCAGGAG
rnacentral:snoRNA from 1 species